ACACAUGUUGCAUGCUGCAUGCUGGGCAGGUGGAUCCAUAGAUUAGGGUGACUGACUGAGAUCAGACUGGUGUUAAGAUCCAGGAAAUGGUAAAGGCUCCUGAAAGUGUUGGCAGUAGUGGACUUGGCAGAGAGCUCCGGCAUGUUCCUCCACUCCGGACCUGAUAGAGACUCCUGCAGCGGUCUUUGCACCCCCACCCCCCCCACGCCCCCCCUGCCAUGGAGAGCUACACCUCCGUCUCCGCCAGCAACAUUCUGGCUCAACAUGGUGACCUUACACUGAACUCCACUAAUGGAACACACCGUCCUGCCCUGUGUGCUCAACCGAGAAACGCAGUCUUCUCUCCCCCCCGAAACGCACACCACACAUGCUAUUAUUAUUAUUAUUAUUAUUAUUAUUAUUAUUAUUAUUAUUAUUAUUAUCAGUAGUAGUAGUAGUAGUAGUAGUAUUAGGAAUAUUAUUAGUAAUAGUACUAGUAUUAGUAUUAGUAGUCCUAGCACUAACAACAUUAGCACUAACAACAUUAGCCUUUUUGUACUUCACAGUUGAUGGGAUGGAUAGGAGGUAAGGCCCAAAGUGAAAGGAGAGAUGGCUUGACUGUGAUUUGGAGGCAUUCAGUCUCAUUCAGCCAAGUUUUUAUCUCUUAUCAGCAACUGCCCUUUUAACUGUCAGAAUUUGUUAUUGAUCUGUUACUUUCAACAUUAUGUGUUGAUAAGACGCUGCUAUGAAAGUUUCAUUUUAAUGAAAUCUGAUUUUUAUCUGACAACAUUUUUCCUCAGUGUGUCACAACCGUGUCAUAUGAUAUUCUCGCUCUGUUUAGUUCCUGUUUUGGAGUUCUGAUUUGUAUCUGAGGGAAGUGGAUCUGGGCCCGGGGGACAAUGCAGGGCUGCGAAGCUCAGCCCGGGACGGGUCCAGAACGGGUCCAGAACGGGUCCAGAACGGAACUUGUGGGAUAAAUCUGUGAUCUCAGAGGCCAAACCGACAGGGUGCUGGCUGAACAACGUGCCUAUCAUCACACGCACGGCAGCUGGGUAUUUCUGCCGUUUGUUUUUAAUGUCACGGGUUCUUGUCGUCUGGUUCAUAUUUAAUAUUGCCUUGUGCAUUCUUGCAUAUUUUGUAUUUGUGUACUCUGUUCUCUUGGCAAUGGGAGAUUGCAGUGAGGAUUAUAUUUCUGGUUAAAUACAGGAUACAUUUAAUUAAAAUGAGUCAGUGAAAGUUCUUUUGGAACUGAAGGUGGGUUAGUGGAACUGGAGUGGAGAUGUUGUACCUGGUGAUUUGACUAGUGGUUUGUAUUGUUGACUAACUAGUGGCUUAAAAUGUUGACUAACUAGUAGUUUGUAUUGUAGGUUGACUGGUUUGUGUUGUGAUUUGUUUGACUGUUGCAGUGACUGAACCCCUCCCCCCCCCGGCCCCCCACCCCAGCUCUUGUUUUGGGUCUCUGCCAGGCGGCCUUUCCUUCUGUUUACUCUCUGAACUUUAUCUCAAAGAAGCAGGCGUCAGAACCUCCGGACAGAAACAAAACCAACGCUGACCUCUGACCUUUCAACGACCAAUCACAUAGCUGUGCCUGACCACUGACCCGUACAAAGACCAAUCACAAAGAAGGAAAGGAGUUUAUUGACUAAGUGAGUCUGUUAUCACAGUCUAUUAUAUUUUCAAAUGAAAGAAAGACUUAUCACAGCAUUUAGCAGGUCUUUUGGCAUCUUUACAAUGGCCCUGAAUUGAUAGUAGCUUUGCUACUCUCCAGCUGAAGAGUUGGAUCUAAUCAUUCCCUAAGUUACUUUGGGUAAAAUCCCCUGCUAAAUCCCUGUCGUCUUUAAGGAUGGACAAAUCUCUCUGGAUUUUUAAAAAUUUAACAACACAUAAAAAACAACCUGGAAAGGGGAAACUGAAUGUGCUCUUUUCUAAAUCACAGUUUUAUUGUGCACCACAAAACAGAGAUCAGUGCUUAGACCCACUCUCGGUCUUUACCGUGUUACUUCUGAUGAGAAAUGAAGCUUUGAUUUAGAGGGUAAAACUUUGCAAACUCUGUUUUGUUUUUCAGUUCACAUGCAGUUUUCAGUAGCAAACCGGUGAGACCUGGUUGGAGAUCUGUUUUUUAGUCAAUAAAGUAUUGGGAGCUGUAAUCCAGUGUGCGGAUAUCCAUUUUUCUUCAAUCUUCACGUGUUUAUCCUCCACCUGGCCUCAAAACAGGUUGGAUGUGCACACAGCUACUCUACUGUGGAGAUCUAACUGGCCAAGCCAAGACAAAAAGACGUCAUAAAAUACUUGCUAAGAUGUUCAUAUUGAAGCUAACUGACCGAUCCAGUCAUGGAUUGGGUCACUGUUUACAUGAGCUUAAUUAAAGACCGUUUAAAUGUUUCCAUGGCGCUGUGUUUCUGGGAAUACCCGUUUCACGAGUGCCUUUCUCAGUCAGCGAUUCUGUGUGCACAUUGUGUGUUUCGUUUCUGUGAUUAUUGUGCGACAGGGUCUGAGCUGGUGGUGAAGCCCAGCUUUCUGCAGAAAUGUGCUGCAGAGUCAGAGUCUAACAGAACAAUGUGUGUGUGUGUGUAUGUGUGUGAGAGAGAGUGUGUGUAUGCAUGAGAGAGAGAGGGUGUGCGUGUGUGUGCCUGUGUGUGUGUGUGUGUGAGAGAGAGAGAGAGAGAGUGUGUGUGUGUGUAUGUGUGUGUGUGUGUGUGGAGUUCAGCGACAUCAGCCAGUGAUCGUCAUAAGCGCUUCUCCUUCCAUCACUAUGACAUCAUCACUUCUGUCAUGGCCGCUUGCCCUGUCAUCAAGCGUUGGCUCCAAAAUUCAUAGUGCUGUGACUAAACCUGCCUGUGACCUCACUGCACACACACACACACACGCAUUAAACCCGCCUGUGACCUCACUGCAUGAGUGAAUACUCAGGGCGGCUACUGACGGGUGUCAGCAUAGGAUUCAACCCUGCAACCCCCAGAGUUACACGUCCCAUUUCUGAGACAGCCCGGGAAUGCCGUGAUUAGGUCAUAAUUGAUGUGACGUAAGAACUUUUGCUUUCUCAACCGUUCGUCAUGGCGUUACGCACGCGGGGCUGUCCCCUCGGCCGGGGCGCGGUGAAUCAGCGACGGCUUCUGCCUCCGGCGCGCCGCUGAGCUGCGCGCUGAGGGGAAACACUCGUGGGUCAUUGUGAUUGUUUAAGCCGCAUCCAGUGGCCAAAUAUCAGGCAGCCGCUAGAGAAGUUGACUCUAUUUUUAGAAACAUAUUGUGUCUUACAGACCUGGGUCAAAUACUUGUUGGAAGUGAUUUAGCCCUUUAGACACUGGUAAAAUUCCUGCAGAUUACUCACAGUUUCAAAAUGAAACAUCCACUUUCACAAAUUUUCAGAACAGAGAUAGUAACACAUUUUUAUUGAACAAAUUCUCAGGGAUCUACGGGAGUGUUUUUGAAUUUUUAAUAAUCAUUUAAAGAGUGCGUGUAUUUCGCAUAUGUCUUUGGCCUUUGACCCAAGUUUGAUGCCUGGCUAAGUUUCUAAAUUUUAAAUCUGUCAAUCAUGUCUUUGGCAGUUUAAUCCUGGGCAGAUUUGGAUUUAGAUUCAGAAUUUAUUUCAACACUGAUUGAUUUGUAUUAUAUUAACAAAAAUUACCAAACCAAAGUGAUGAUUCAAUAUGGAAAAAUGGAAAACCAAAGGCUGUGUAGGAAUGUGUUCCUGAGAUGCCUUUAUCCCUCCAGGCCGAACUGCUGAAAUGUUUGGCACUGACCUGGCGCCUUCUCGGGAUCGUCGCAGCAACGUCCCGCCCUUAUUUUGGCAGUUCCUGUGAAGGCCUUGGCUGUGUUUUCACCUGAAACAGAGACUCAUUCUGCUCAGGAGACUGCGGGGGCCAGGAAACGACUUGUUUCCGCGUGAACGACACGCUUCCACGGCAGACGCAGCCCCCUGCUUGCCUGCCUGCCUGCCUGGCCGCCGACUGCAGCUAGAUGGAUCACCCCCCUCCCCGCCCCCCCACCCCUCCACCCCCCUCUGUGUGAACCCCUCCGAGAGCCGUCUGUAAGCACAACCCCUCCCCAAACCCGUCUAGGCAAUUUUUUAACUGGUUGUUUACCCAACAUUUACCGCACGCUGCUCUUAGAAAUAUUAUUUUUCAAUUCAGCCAUUUAGCAGAUUCUUUUAAUACUUUUGAUCCAAAGCCACUUCGAUAAAUCGCCUCUCAAGCUGAAGAUCAGCAAAGCGGCGAUCAAAUCAUGGCCAUCGCAGAAACGGGCGCUGCAAGAUUCGCUAAAAAAAUGGAGAGAAAGGUUUGAUGGGGUGUGCUUGUUCACAUGUAACUCUGCUCAGAGGUGUAUUAAAAUGAUCUGGUUUUGGGUAUGCUUUGUGUAUUCAGUGAUAUAACAUGUCAUUGGGCCUACAGCCACACCAUGUGUAGCAUAAUACCAAAUUUUCAUACAAUGAGAAAGGCCAAUCAGAAACACAGCAGGAUAGUGACAUGGGCCAAUCAGAAACACAGUAGGAUAGUGACAUGGGCCAAUCAGAAACAGAGUAGGAUAGUGACAUGGGCCAACCAGAAACACAGGAGGAUAGUGACAUGGGUCAAUCAAAAAGACAGUAAGGUGUUGGAGGUAGGGGUUAAGGUAGAGUAGAGGGCUGCCGGUAGAGCAUCCUGCUUUCAGGACCACGGACAGUGUUGGACUCGCCUACAGGCAGCACAGCUGAGGCUGAAUUUACAGGCAGCACAGCUGAGGCAGAAUCUACAGGUAGCACAGCUGAGGCAGAAUCUACAGGCAGCACAGCUCAGGCUGCAGGCUGACCCUACAUGCUGAGGUUAAUUAGUCAGGCCAGGGCCUGCAUGUGACGGCACAGCCUGCUGUAAGUAGAGACAGAAACCUGAGAGAGGCAGGAUCACAGUGGAGAAAGUGCUGUGGUGGGGAGGGGAGUGGAAUCCUCAGCUGAACUGGGGGGGUUUGUUUACAGGUGGAGAGCUGGCCGCGCUCUGAACCUCACCCCACAGUCUGGGGCUUAAAGGCUCAGAGGCAAAUAACCGCCAUAAUUAACGCAGUCAUUACAGUCCUGCGGAUCACUCAGUACAGGGGGGGGCUGUGUUACCGUGGGACGAUGACUGAGGAUGUCCAAAGUUCAGCAUUGCAGGGAUUUUUGAAAACGAUUUCCCCUCCAUUAUAAUUAGUUUUACCGAAGGCUAGGAAAUGUAAUUUAGUU